UCCGGCACCGAGCCGGUGCUGCGGCUUUACAGCGAGGCAAAUGAUCCGGGCGUUGUCGCGGAACUGCUCCAGGCCGGGCGGGAAAUUGCAGGCAUCUGAACGGAAAAUAAAUGCUUGACAUGAUUGGCCGAAACCCGUAAGCUCACCAAGAUGUCCAGGGAUUACGUCUGGGUAAAAUUAACAAGGCAGUAGUAGGAGAAAGUUAGAAUGGCAAACGGUACGGUAAAAUGGUUCAAUGACAGCAAGGGUUUUGGCUUUAUCGAGCAGGAUAAUGGCGAUGAUGUGUUCGUGCACUUCUCCGCAAUCAUGGGCGAUGGUUUCAAAUCUCUGGCCGAAGGCGAGGCAGUAACAUUCGAAGUGCAGAAAGGCCCAAAAGGUCUUCAGGCAGCCAACGUCAACAGAGUUUAAAGAUAUCUUUAAACACAACCAAAAGGCCCCGGAGCGAUCCGGGGCUUUUUUU
rnacentral:sRNA from 1 species